GCGGGCGGGUAUCCCGCCUUUCUGUUGUUUUAAGAUGCUUUGUGUACCUGAAGCUCAAGGCUCUGUUCUUCCCCAGCAGCAUCCUGGUGAUCCCGGAGUGUGGAAUGGCUCGUGGCAGCCUCGCCCUGGCAGCGUUGGGCAGGAUUCCUGGGUGUUUCAGAGCUCACCUGCCUGAUGGAUAGACCCCAGGAAUCAAUUCAGUGAGGAAGACUGAGAGCUUGUGAACCCUCUCCCAGGGGGUCUGGUUUGCUUCAUGUGGAGAAGCUGCAGCGUGGAGCGAGUGAGUGUCCUGGUGUUGGCUGGGCAGGAGGUUUGGAUCAGACAUCGGGAGGAAAUCCUUCCCUGGGAGGGUCUUAGCAGAGCAUGGAGCUGAAUUGAGGCCAUUCCUGAGGGAUUCGUUACUACGUGGUACUUUCCCAGCCCUCCAGCAGUGGGAGCUCUGCAGAGCCAGAUCCCGGCUCCUUCCCGAGCCGUGAGUUCCUCUGAGUGGGAUCCACUCCUGGGCUCCACUCACUGGCGUUGCAGGGACAGGGAACUGCUUUGGCUCCUGGUGCUGCUCAAGAUCCUGUUUUGACACUGCCUGGAAGAACAGUCCCUUCUGUGGAGUUUCCUCAGGAGUGGAGUUAUUUAAUAUUAGUGGAUAUUAACUCUUGGAGGCUCAAUAAACACAAUUGCUUGAAA